AGUGAACGCUGGCGGCAGGCUUAACACAUGCAAGUCGAACGGCAGCACAGUAAGAGCUUGCUCUUACGGGUGGCGAGUGGCGGACGGGUGAGGAAAAUAUCGUAAUCUUCUCUUUCGUGGGGGUUAACGAAGGGAAACUUACGCCAAUAUCGCAUAUGCCCUACGGGUGUAAGCAGUGGAUCUUCGGACCUUGCGCGAUUGAAUGAGCCGCUGUCGGGUUAGCUAGUUGGCGGGGUAAUGGCCAACCAAGGCGGGGAUCCGUAGCCGGACUGAGAGAAUGAUCGGCCGCACUAGAGCUUGGACACGGUCCAGACUCCUGCGGGAGGCAGCAGUGGGCAAUAGUAGACAAUGGGCGCGAGCCUGGUCCAGCCGGACCGCGUGGGUGGAAGAGACCUUCGGGUUGUAAAGCCCGUUUUUUGGGAAAGAAAAGCAGCAGGUUAAGACGCCGCUGUUCUGACGGUACCCAGAGAAUAAGCACCGGCUAACUUCGUG
rnacentral:rRNA from 1 species